GAUGGACGCUGGCGGCGUGCCUAAUACAUGCAAGUCGAGCGAACGGACGAGAAGCUUGCUUCUCUGAUGUUAGCGGCGGACGGGUGAGUAACACGUGGAUAACCUACCUAUAAGACUGGGAUAACUUCGGGAAACCGGAGCUAAUACCGGAUAAUAUUUUGAACCGCAUGGUUCAAAAGUGAAAGACGGUCUUGCUGUCACUUAUAGAUGGAUCCGCGCUGCAUUAGCUAGUUGGUAAGGUAACGGCUUACCAAGGCAACGAUGCAUAGCCGACCUGAGAGGGUGAUCGGCCACACUGGAACUGAGACACGGUCCAGACUCCUACGGAGGCAGCAGUAGGGAAUCUUCCGCAAUGGGCGAAAGCCUGACGGAGCAACGCCGCGUGAGUGAUGAAGGUCUUCGGAUCGUAAAACUCUGUUAUUAGGGAAGAACAUAUGUGUAAGUAACUGUGCACAUCUUGACGGUACCUAAUCAGAAAGCCACGGCUAACUACGUG
rnacentral:rRNA from 1 species